rnacentral:snRNA from 1 species
CUAUUUGAGGGUCAUCUGGCUGAGACCUCUGUCAUCCUGUUGAAUGCCAGGGCAGGUUUGGCUGAUCUGUCUGGCUAGACAGGUUCUCCUUCCUCCCUUACCACUCCAUGUGCAUCCUUCCUGAAGCUGCUUGCUUGUUGGAGGAAGAUGACCAUACCAGAUAGGAGUGUGCAGUUCUUCAGUCAAGGGUAGAGAUGGGCAUGAAUUUAGAAACAAAUUAAAAUCUUAUUUAAAACUGCUAAUUUGUUGAUUCAUAUUCAUAUUCCUCCCUGAUGAAUAAACAU